rnacentral:piRNA from 1 species
UAGAAGUGGCUUCUAAAUAGCACACAAUGGC